rnacentral:rRNA from 1 species
CACGUAGGGGACGAGCGUUGUCCGGAUUCAUUGGGCGUAAAGCGCGCGUAGGCGGCUCGGAAAGUCGGUCGUGAAAUGCCGGGGCUCAACCCCGGGACUGCGUCCGAUACUCCCGAGCUGGAGGCAGGUAGGGGAGAUCGGAAUUCCUGGUGUAGCGGUGAAAUGCGUAGAUAUCAGGAGGAACACCUGUGGUGUAGACGGCUUUCUGGACCAUAACUGACGCUGAGACACGAAAGCGUGGGUAGCAAACAGG